CGACCGGCGCACGGGUGAGUAACACGUAUCCAACCUGCCGUCUACUCUUGGACAGCCUUCUGAAAGGAAGAUUAAUACAAGAUGGCAUCAUGAGUCCGCAUGUUCACAUGAUUAAAGGUAUUCCGGUAGACGAUGGGGAUGCGUUCCAUUAGAUAGUAGGCGGGGUAACGGCCCACCAAGUCUUCGAUGGAUAGGGGUUCUGAGAGGAAGGUCCCCCACAUUGGAACUGAGACACGGUCCAAACUCCUACGGGAGGCAGCAUG
rnacentral:rRNA from 1 species